rnacentral:lncRNA from 1 species
UUUUUUUUUCUUCUUCUUUUUAACACUGAGAAGGAAAACAACACAUGCAGGAAACCAUAAAACCCUUCAAGUUAACUGUAGCCAACGGUCAAUCUCAUUAGGAUGUCAUGGGUAGGUUGUAGCCCUCUCUAUAAAGGCUGAAUACGCUCCUCUGAAUGACUUCCAAUUAUCUCACUUCUAGAUAAAAAAGCAGUUCCACUCACCACGCAUAUACUGUUUCUAUUCUCUUCUGCCUCUGUUACUGCUUCCAAAACUCAGUCCCUGAGUUCAUCUUCUAUUACAGCACACCUUUGUUGAACUGGAAUAUAGAUACAUGUGCACAGCUAGUCACAGACACUUACCCUUUCCACCAGGGAGGCUGAGGGCAUCCCCAGGGGCUGGACGGGAGGUCAGAGGACAGCUAAUCCGCCCCUCCCCGCCUUCACCGCCUGGGCCUGGGUUCAGUCUACCUCUAGGACCCAAGUAGAGGAGACAUCUAUGCAUGGAGACUGGGUCUAGGGCUCAAGAGAAGGGGCUCCAGGGCCACCUCCCUCACUUCUGACCUCGUGACCUCUCUGAGCUACUCUCAAUUCCAUUUCUCCAUAGAACAAAAGGCAAUAAUAAGCUCCUGUUUCAUAUUUAUUUGGAGAAAAUGCCAAACUGUGGUGGCAGGGAUUCUCAAGUGAGCCUCGUACAAGGGGGCUUAUUAGGGCCUCAUUACCAGGGUCUGAUAAUCUUUAAAGUCUGCCCUGAACAAGACUCUAGGGGUUAUUCUGCAGUGUGAGGGUUCAUGUACCAGACUGGGAGACACUGAUUCCAGGGAUUUAUUCUUAAGAACCUGGUAUCUUCCAUACUGCUUGCACUGUGCUAGGCCUGGACGCAUGCUAUCUCUUCAGAAGCACCAUGAGGAAGGAGGUAGUGUUUAAUGAGCCCAUGUAGGAGGACAGGCAUGAUGCCAGGAAUGGAACACGUGUUAUUCCACAGAUUCUCUCGAUAGCUUGAUAUGUCGCAUCGCAUUCUAUUUAACAGUUUAGAACACUGAGGCUUAAAAAGGCUAAGAAAGGUGACCAAUGUCCUUCACAGCUGGUUGGUCUAAGAGGCAGCACCGUACCCCGGGCUUUCCAAAAACCCAAGAUUCUGCCUUCCCACAGCUGCUGUAACAGAGCCUCAUGUGCAGAGGCAUUUUGGAAGCUCUUAAAGCAGCACCGAAACAAUGUGACGUCAACAAAUAACCAUCAAACAUUCAUUAUAGGCAAACAACAUUACAGGCAGAUUUGGGGAAGCUAAGUAUUUCAGGACCAGUUCCUGUCCUCCAAGAAUUCCAGUGCAAUGGGAGAGACCGGUUUGGCUGCAUUAGAGCUUGGGAGAACUGGAAAGGUGGGCUAAGAUCCUUGUGUGCAGGGCCUUCAAUGGCAGCAGGAGAAUUCUGUGCUUUAUCCUGGGCAAGGGAGACUCUGGUAGGUUUUUAGCAGUCUGAACACCACACAGAUGCUUCCCCACCCACAUACUUUGGCUUUCAAAUGACAGCCAGAGCGGAGAUGAGGAAGUAUACUGGGAGAUAACUUUCCAGGCAAAUUGGAGGGGAAGGGUAAAGUUAGUAAAUAUGAGUUAGAGAGCUAUUAUACUAUAGACCUCAAAAGAGGAGGAAAAAAGGCAUACAACAAAAACCAUCAGAAAGGAGAAGCAUACCAACCUUCCACCCUGAGAAAUCCACAUGGGUAAGGUGGAUUUGGAUUCCUAUCAGAAUUCUUAGUGCUUUCUUGACAUAUGGAUCUGUCCAGAUGCUCCUUUAAAAUAUUUUCCAUUUACAAUGAAAGAUUCUGAACCCUAGCAUGAUCUAAGCCAUGUGUGGAUUGGAUCAUUCGUGGGUACCCCGAAAAAACACAGAAAAUACUUGGUAAAUGGGGAGGCCUUUUGCUUUCUCACUUUCUUCAGAAUCCCUUUAUGCCUCCAGCACCCCUGCCCCUUCAAAGUGCAAGAGCAGGAAAUCCAGGAGGUCUUUUUAGGCACUCAGCCUACAUGUAAGUAUAUCAGCUUACAUUUUUUUUCUUGGCACUUGUAGGUAUUCAACAAGGAAUUGACAAAAAUUGCUUCAGCAAGUGCUACUGAUUCACAUUUCUGAGGGAGCCGAGGGCCAGAGGAGUAUCUUUAAAGACAAAUGGCUUGUUAUUCUUAAAAUUUAUUCUUUUCUACUGAUCCAAAUUAUCUGAAAGAAAAAGUCAUAGGAAACUCUUUGGCUUCUCAGGUUUAUUAUGCCAUGUACCACCGAACACCUAAGUACCAGUUCUGGGUAACAACUGAGUCAGAGAAAAGUACAAAAACGUUUCCAACAUUUACUCUAUCACCUCCUAGGAAGGACAUAUACUUCAGUUAAGCUUUCAUUUUUAAAGCAAUGUUAUCAAAAUUCUUAAAUAGUUAAACCAUCUGCCCUUACAUGGAAAGUCAAGGAAGAAUAAAUUUAGUUCUAACAGGAGAAGACUACAAAAAAAAAAAAAAAAAAAACUUUAAAAAUUACGUCAAAAAAAUUAAAAUAAAAAUUGCAUUAUUUAGUCUUCAUUCAUGUCAAGGUUUUGCUACUCUGGAUCUAAAAAAACUAAAUAAUCAUAUUAUCACUAGGAACAAAAAUUAAAUUUAAGCACUUUACAGAAGAGCUCUUCCUCUUCCUCUUUUUAAAAAGAUCUUUAAAGAGACAGAAGAUGCCAUGUUGGUUUUCUUUUUUAAAGUCUUUUUAAAAAAAGAUAUUACAAUUGCAGAACACAAAUGCAAUUCAAACUAAAUAUAUUAAUGAAUAUAUGAAAGAAAAAUUUGGAGACUGGUAGCUAAAAUGACCUUUAAAAAAUGAAAUUAUAUUGAAAUAUAACAGUUAUAUUAUUUUGGAGGGAGGGGAAUUACAGCUUUUCACUGAAAAAAAAAAAAAAUUGCUUGUGUUGGAACUACAGGCUCCAAAACUCUUUGUCCAGCUGUACAUUUCAGGAUGGAGGAGACUGUCUUACCUACAAGCAAUCCUGAUGAUUAAAGGGUUAUUUCCACAUAUGUCCGCUUAUUAACCCCUUCUUUCCAGUGCUGAAAAACUAGAAGACAUAGAAAGCACAAACAUUUGGAAGUGAAGGUGGGUUCUGUUAGUUAAUGGCAAUUGUUAACCCUAAAGUAAACAACAAAUUGUGCUCUCUGGCAAGUUGCAGGGCCCAAAUCAAAUACUAAUGGGCCUUAGGACAUCCAAAGGACUUUUUUCUCCUUGCAUACAGGUCUCAACAACACUGUACCUGAUAUUAGAAAAAGUAUAGCUCAGUGCCUUCUAUGCCCAGAUGGGGGGAGGGGGGAACCUUUCCUCUUAGGCCCUAAGGAGCCAACCUCUCCAGGUCACUCUUAGCGUUCCUUGUCACUUACAUGAAUAACCGUGUUAGUCACGGCACAAAAUGGAGAUUUUUGGCACCACAUGAACCUUUCUGCUUUUGAGUAAAACAUUUACACAGUUUUUAUAUUUCAUAACUGGUAACGCCUCUCUCCUCCAGAAUACAUUGAUAAUUUAACAGGCUUGUUUGUUCUUAAUCCGUGGGAAACAUUUCUAGCCACUGCUGGAUGGUAUCUCUGGAAAAAUCAAGGCGAAAGCAGCUUGGGGAUCAUAAAGUUAAAGAUCAGCAAGCCGGUGUCUUCAGUAAAGAAUUCUGUCUGUCCAUGUUGCCCCUCCCCCUCUCUUUAAAAUUUCAAGACAAAGGGCAUUGAUUUAAAUGGAGUAAACUCAGAAAAUUCCUAGAAAGCAUGUAGAGUUGACACAUACUCAGCUGACGCCAUCACUUCAGGGUCAGAACCUGCCAAAUCUGGCUGAGAGGAACUCCGAUUCCUCAAUAAGAUGGCAAUUAACGGGCCUGAGAACGCACUUGCUUCAUAGCUAAGGCAUAUGGUAUAGUUUCUACACACGCACACCAUUGGGCCCUCCCAAUCUUAGGCUCUGGGCAUAAUAAUGACAAAAGUCAAGAUUUAGGGUUCAGUUCCAGCUGAUUUUAUUUCCUUCUCAAAAAAAGUUAUUUACAGAAGGUAUAUAUCAACAAUCUGACAGGCAGUGAACUUGACAUGAUUAGCUGGCAUGAUUUUUUUUUCUUUUUCCUUUUCCCCUAAACAUUGUUUUUUGUGGCCUUGGAUUUUAAGACAAAUAUUCUACACGGCAUAUUGCACAGGAUGGAUGGCAAAAAAAAAAGUUUAAAAACAAAAACCCUUAACGGAACUGCCUUAAAAGGCAGACGUCCUAGUGCCUGUCAUGUUAUAUUAAACAUACAUACACACAAUCUUUUUGCUUAUUAUAAUACAGACUUAAAUGUACAAAGAUGUUUUCCACUUUUUUCAAUCUUUAAACACAACAGCUAUAAACCUGAACACAUAUGCUAUCAUCAUGCCAUAAGACUAAAACAAUUAUAUUUAGCGACAAGUAGAAAGGAUUAAAUAGUCAAAUACGAGAAUGAAAAACGCAGUACAUAGUGUCGCGAACUCAAAUCGGCAUUUAGAUAGAUCCAGUGGUUUAAACGGCACGUUUUUGCUUAUAAAAAAAGUGCAAAAAAGAUGUGGUUUACAAGUUAAAGCUACAGGAUCCCUUUUUUGCUGUAAAUGCACCAGUUUUAAAGCCUCUGGAUAAAACAGUAUUUUGUUUAAAAAAAUUUGUUUUUCUUAAAAGCAUACAGUGUUUGGCUAAUUCUCCCCCCACCAUCUAUAAGACUGGGGUCGAAGGAUGGAUACUGGUGGCAGGUUAAGGGAUACUGUCACUUUAAGAAGCCUGCAGAUUGAAGUGUAAACAUGGAGAAAUUAGGGGCUGAUUUUUUAAAACUGUGUGAGAUAUUAACCAGCCGCCCUAUUAUAAAAUCAGGAAAUCCAAACAGCGAUUUACACCGAUUAACACCCCCUUUAUAUAUUUUUUACAAAAAUACACUGAGAAAAUAAUCAAACGUUUUCAUCUCUCUUGUCUUUUUUUGUUUUUUUAAAAGUGUCAAAAGUCUACAUUUAAAUAUAAAAAAUUAAAAGUUAAAACUCUAGCCCUUCAGUGAAGGAGACGUAAAAUGGCGUGGGUAAGAACAACUACCAAAAAAAAAGAAAGAAAGAAAGAAAACAAAGAAAAAGAAAAAAAGAAAGGAAGGACGAAAUAAGGAAGUAAAAGAAAGAAAAGAAAGCAAAAGAAAGGAAAAAGGGACAAAAUAAAAAAUGUUUGGCCAGUAUAAAUACGUCCACAUAUAAAAUGGCAUCUGAUUACAUUUACAAGGAAAAAAAAUACGAGGAUGGAGCAUCGGUGAGGGAAAAAAACACGUCUUCUCAUUUACACCUAUAAGGAAUAAACACAUACACACUGAGAAAAAAUUUGGUCCUGAAUUGUUUUUUAAAGUCCAGCACAGAUUUGAGUUGCGUUUGAAUCCUUUAAAGAGUUAAGAAUGAAAAAAAGCUGGUGAUAAUUUCUGUUGUAGGAAUCAAACAUAGCGCCAUCUAUCUGCUUUUUAUAUUAUCCUACACUAUUUUAAAAACUGCUCAACAGUCUUAUACAGAAAUCUUUAAAAGAUAGACAGGAUAACAUGCUAUAUUAACCCCACCAGUGAAAUAAUCCAACACCAUCACGAUUCCGAUUAAGAGAAGAAAAAAACCUUUUUUUUUCCCCCGAAACCACUCGCCCUCCACUGCCCCGGUACCACAUCAAACAGUCUCCUCUCCUCCGCGCCUGCGGGCCUGUGAAGUCUCACCUCACUGAUUUCAGAGAUGCAGCAGGCGGAGGCCCAGGAGACGCCGCCACCUUGUCCCGAACGUGCAAAUCCAUUUCAGUUUUAGUAUUCGCCCCCUUCCAGUUCGUGUCCUUCUCCUUCCCGCCCCUCGCCCUCGCUGGUGUGGCAUUCCAACUAGGUUCUCGGGUCCCUUCCAAGCGCUGGUCACUCAACAUCUCCUCCUUCGGCUGCAGAG